rnacentral:rRNA from 1 species
UGAAUACGAGACGCUAAGGCGUCGAAGUAGUGUAUGUCAUACUUCCAAGAAAAGCUUGCACUGUCAUAGAUAAAAAACGCCUGUACCAUAACCGACACAGGUGGGUAGGUAGAGUAUACUAAGGGGCGCGAGAUAACUCUCUCUAAGGAACUCGGCAAAAUAACUCCGUAACUUCGGGAGAAGGAGUGCCUUAUUCGUAAGGUUGCAAUAACAAGAUCCAAGCAACUGUUUAUCAAAAACACAGGUCUCCGCUAAGUCGUAAGACGAUGUAUGGGGGCUGACGCCUGCCCAGUGCCAGAAGGUUAAAGAAGUUGGUUAGCAAUUGCGAAGCUGAUAACUGAAGCCCUGGUGAACGGCGGCCGUAACUAUAACGGUCCUAAGGUAGCGAAAUUCCUUGUCGGGUAAGUUCCGACCCGCACGAAAGGCGUAAUGAUUUGGAUACUGUCUCGGAGAGGGGCUCGGUGAAAUAGACUUGUCUGUGAAGAUGCGGACUACCUGCACCAGGACAGAAAGACCCUAUGAAGCUUUACUGUAACUUGAAAUUGAAAUUGGACUUUAUUCGCGCAGUAUAGGUGGGAGGCGUUGAUUAUAAUCUUGUGGGAUUAUUGGAGCCAUCAGUGAGAUACCACUCUUGUAAUGUUAGAUUUCUAACUUUGAAUCAUUAUCUGGUCAAAGAACAGUUUCAGGCGGGCAGUUUGACUGGGCGGUCGCCUCCUAAACGGUAACGGAGGCGUACAAAGGUUUCCUCUGAACGGUUAGAAAUCGUAUCUAGAGUGUAAAGGCAUAAGGAAGCUUGACUGUGAGACCUACAAGUCGAGCAGGGACGAAAGUCGGUCUUAGUGAUCUGACGGUACUGAGUGGAAAGGCCGUCACUCAACGGAUAAAAGUUACUCUAAGGAUAACAGGCUGAUCUCCCCCAAGAGUUCACAUCGACGGGGAGGUUUGGCACCUCGAUGUCGGCUCAUCGCAUCCUGGGGCGGUAGUACGUCCCAAGGGUUGGGCUGUUCGCCCAUGAAAGCGGUACGCGAGCUGGGUUCAGAACGUCGUGAGACGGUUCGGUCCAUAUCCGGUGUAGGCGUUAGAAUAUUGAGAGGAGCCUUCUUUAGUACGAGAGGACCGAGAAGGACAUACCUCUGGUGUACCAGUUAUCGUGCCAACGGUAAACGCUGGGUAGCUAUGUAUGGAGUGGAUAACCGCUGAAAGCAUCUAAGUGGGAAGCCCACCUCAAGAUAAGUAUUCUCAC